UACGUAGGGCGCAAGCGUUGUCCGGAAUUAUUGGGCGUAAAGAGCUCGUAGGCGGUCUGUCGCGUCUGCCGUGAAAACCCGAGGCUUAACCUCGGGCUGGCGGUGGAUACGGGCAGACUAGAGGUAGGUAGGGGAGAAUGGAAUUCCCGGUGUAGCGGUGAAAUGCGCAGAUAUCAGGAGGAACACCGAUGGCGAAGGCAGGUCUCUGGGCCACUACUGACGCUGAGAAGCGAAAGCGUGGGGAGCGAACAGG
rnacentral:rRNA from 1 species